CGAAAACAAAAACAUGAAUUUGGAUUUGGUGCUGUUCAUCUAAGACAUUGUCAUACAUGGAAACCACCAAGAAAUGAACCACUCAACUCUAUAUUAUAUUUCAUGCAUGAAAUUACAAAUGUUGAUUCAGAGGGACCUUGUUUGCACCCCAAAACAUCAUCUUAUGUUCCACUUGUGUGGUUCAGUCAUAUGGAUUAGGUGGAAUGCUGCUUCACUCGAGGCAAAACAUCAUCACCAUUUAGCUGUGGUUGGACCCAGUAAGCAUCAACUUAAACUUGCUACUCCUUUCUUCCAUUUUACUAUCACACAUUUUCUUGUGCAUCAAAUUCUUGAACUGAAGCUUUAUUCGAUUUACAGGUAUGUAGCAUGAAGUUGCAUGAUGAUACAGCCUCUCCCACUGUAAGAUAGAUCCAUUCCUGACCCACUGUUUCUAUGAACUUCGAUUUUUCCAGCUUCUUAACCACCUCACUUCGUGGGUUUGCCAGUACCAGCUGCGUUAAUAAGCACACGAGUGAAGUUGCAGAGAAACAAUGAAAAUGGAAGGGUUAUUUAUUUAUUUAUUUAUACCUUGAGACAUUUUCUGUCAAUGUUCUUCUUAACUUCUUCGAGCAUGCUGAUCCCACUUGUAUCUAUGCUGCCAAUAGCUGUGAAUUGAACGGAUUGGAACAUUAGGGAAAAUAAUUAAGAGUUAUAUAUACUUUCAAUUUGUGCUGAAAUGUUCAAGAAUUAAGACACCUACCACUCAUAUCUAGUAUCACAUAUUGUAAAGUGGGUCCUCCUGUAGAUUUGAGCCUGUCUUCCUCCUCAUUAAUCCAUCUUGAAAUCCGUUCCCUCAAGUAGUUUGCAUUGGCAAAGUAGAUGGGUGCAUCAAUCUGAAGAAUGAGAACUCCAGGAACACUGUUAGCUGUCGGGUAUUGAUCCAUACUUCUGUAAAUCAUGGAAUUGGGAAUGUUGCCUAGCAGGAAAGUCCUUGGCCUUGCUACAAACAGGAGCAUCCUUAGCAAGGAAAUUGUGACAGCAAUAACUAGGCCAAUUUCGACGCUUCCAAAUACGACGCCAAUGUAGGCACCAAUGCAAACAAAGAAGUCGAACUUGUCGACUUUCCAGAGGUGAAUAGCAGCUUCGUAGUCAAUUAGGCCGAGCAUGGCAGAGAUUAUAAUCGAGGAAAGCACCACCAGGGGAGUGUAAUGGAACAAUGGCGUUAGAAAUAACAAUGUAAUCAUCACAGCUGUUGCCAUGACUAUGUUAGACACUGCAGUCUUGCAACCUGCAUUGAAGUUCACUGCUGUUCGCGAGAAUGGUCCUGUGGUUAGGUAACAGGAAGUGCAUGAGCCUGCAAUAUUCAUCAUCCCAAAAGCGAUCAUCUCUUUGUUUCCAUCAAUGUGAUAGUUCUUGAACAUGGCAAAGCUCCUUCCGACAGCUACUCCUUCAGCAAGAGCUAUAACACCAGUUAUGAUUCCAGUUUUAAUAGCUGUCAUCAGAUGUGGAGACCCAAAAGCCAAGUCAGAAACAGAUGGUGGAUUCAGCCCUUUCUUGAGGUGCCCAAUCACUUGAACACCAUGUUUCUCAGCGUGGGUCAGGUAAACAAGGACACUUCCUAGGACAACAGACGUCAGGGGUGCCAUAGCAUUUAUCCAGAAGAAGCAUGGCUUUCUCUUGCUACAGUAUCUAGUAAGAAGUAGGAAGAAAAGAAAACAACAACCCAAGGCUCCACUUUCCCAUCUCCACUGGUGUGUUUGGCUAAGAACAGAUCGCAUAACUGAUACAAGAUCAGUCCCUUGAGUGAAAUGAACCAACCCAAGAAUCCCUUUCAAUUGCUGAAGACAGACAACUGUGGCUGCUCCACCCAUGAAACCCACUAUUGUUGCAUGGGACAAGAAGUCCACGAUAAACCCUAGUCUUAAUAAGCCGAGAGCAGAUUGGAAAACUCCAGCGAAGAAAGUGGCCGUUAAGGCCAACUGAACAUAGUGCUUUGGGUCCUCAUUAGGGUUAACCUCCUUCCCUAACAUGGAAGAUAUGAGAAGUGAUGCCACAGCAACAGUUCCCACAGCCAAAUCUCUUGAGCUGCCCAACAUGGCAUAUACUAAUGGUGGCACAAAGCUUGAAUAUAGUCCAAUUAUUGCAGGCAAGUUCGCAAGAUUUGCAUAACUUAUCCCUUGAGGAACUGCGAGGCUGGCAAUUGUAAUUCCAGCAAUAACAUCAGCUUUGAAGAAGGCGAAGGUGUAACGUGGAGCCCAUUCCAGGAUAGGCACAAAGUACUGCAAUCCUAAAAUGAACUUCCUAGAUGCAGACUGGUUCUUGAAUUGCCUAAAAGGAUCAUCCGGGAAAAGAGUCUCCUUGAGACCUGAUUUUAGGGACUUGAGAAAUGGCUUUGCCGGAGGAAUUGCAACAGGAUGUGGGCGUUCAAAAUCAGCGUUACCCAUUAGUUUGACUUCUGGUAAAUCAGGAUUUCCUAUCUUAUAUUGUUAAUUAUAAGCUAGAACAGAAAUUAAUGCGUAAAAUUAUUUGUGUAUAGGAGCUGGCAAUGGCAAGAGUGUUGUAUUAUUUGUGAGGAGCAAUGUUACUAGUGGGCAAGGCUCUGUGGCAUAAAAAAUUUGCUUGAUUAUAAUGAAGUAGCUAGCUAGCUAGGUAUGGAGAUAAAGCGAAGAGAUGGGCAGAACUUGCAAGUAUC
rnacentral:misc_RNA from 1 species